AGGAUUAUAGUUUAUAUAAAACAUUUGAUUUGCAUUCAAAAAAUAUUAAUUAUUAAUUUAUCUUA
rnacentral:tRNA from 1 species